UACGAGGGGGGCUAGCGUUGUUCGGAGUUACUGGGCGUAAAGGGCGCGUAGGCGGCGCACCAAGUCAGGCGUGAAAGCCCUGGGCUCAACCCGGGAAUUGCGCUUGAGACUGGUGUGCUUGAGUACGGGAGAGGAUAGUGGAAUUCCCAGUGUAGAGGUGAAAUUCGUAGAUAUUGGGAAGAACACCGGUGGCGAAGGCGGCUAUCUGGACCGUAACUGACGCUGAGGCGCGAAAGCGUGGGGAGCAAACAGG
rnacentral:rRNA from 1 species